CGCGGUAUAAGGGCGCAGCCAGAACUGCAUGUCGGCCCCUGACUGGUCGGCGGGGGCUGUCUGUCGAACCUCACAUGGCUUGUGAAAGGUCUCUGGUGUGUAGCUGUAUGUGUUGCAUGAUGGCACUGGCUGGACAUAACGAAAAUGUUGGAAGACAGAUACGAUAACACAUGGGAGAUGACAGCUGCUGCAGCUUCUAUAGAUGUACAGAGUCUCACAACCCAUGGAGAUAUCGUCACUAAAGGCAUGCCACCUUAGCCACGAGAUCUGGGUAUCAGUGAAUUGCAGAUGGGAGGCAAAGAUAAAGAGGCUUGUAAUCUGUAUUAACGUGCUGGUGAUACAGAACCCAGGAAACACAGCCCCUGGGGUGACUUCAUCUUGAGCAGAAACCAGAAGAAAGGUUGUAUAACAAGGGACUCGGGCUGUCAAUUACACACUAUAUCUCAGCAAGAAGAAGGAGGACAGCUAGCUCAGCCGUGAACGCUGUGAAUUUUUAAUGCUGUGUUUGUAUUUCCUUUGCAAUUAAAUAAAUAAAUAAAUAAACCACAGAGAACAGAGUGGGAAUAACAGUGAAUGAAUUUAAAUAAAUGAACACAUGCAAGGAAGGCGCUGUCUUUCCUUCAAUACAUUUAUGUUUCUCAAUCUCCUAACAUUAUGGUAAUCUAGCAGCUAUACCGUAUGAUGCUAACUGUGGUGGUACAUUGAUGCAGUCUAUAAUUCCCCUGAAAAUGCAGUGUUACCCAGAGGCAACAUGUCAUGGUACUGCGAAAGCAAUUCCGUCACAUGUGAUAUGGGAUAUUAUUAAGCUGAUGCUGCGGGCAGUGUUUUAAUAUUGGUUAUUGGACAAUUUGUUGAGGUAUUGAAGCAAAAGUCAUUAUUGCCUGUUUGAGCCAGUUUUUUAUAGUUAUUUUUAGAUAGGGUAAAACCUUAAGGGGCCUAUCUGAGACCCCAAUAUUCUCCUCACACACGCAAUCAUCAAUCACCUUUUGGAGCAGUAACACUGGCAUUUUUCAAAUAAAAGUUGAAUUUAUUUACAUAUAAAUAUAUUAUUUUGGUUAGUGUUUUUGUUUUUUUAAUAAUGGUUUACAUUUACAUAUUGUAUAAUCAAUCAUAAA